rnacentral:rRNA from 1 species
UUCUGUGCUCACACUUCCCUGAACAAGCCUCAUCUUGUUUGAUAUGGGAAGUUAGGCAGGGUCAGCCAUGGCUAACCCUUGGACAAGAAAGAGAAGAGGGCAGGGCAGGGCAGGGC